rnacentral:rRNA from 1 species
CAAUAGCGUAUAUUAAAGUUGUUGCAGUUAAAAAGCUCGUAGUUGGAUUUCUGGCUGGAGCGAUCGGUCCGCCCCGCAAGGGGUGGUGUACUAGCGUCGUCUCCGACCAUCCUUGUGGGAACUGUGCGGCCGUUAACUCGGUUGUAUAUGGGAACACAUCGUUUACUGUGAAAAAUUAAGAGUGUUUAAAGUCAGGCUUAAGCCGUUGAAUACAUUAGCAUGGAAUAAUAAGAUAAGACUUGGGUCAUUAUUUUGUUGGUUUGCGGAUCGAGGUAAUGAUUAAUAGGGAUAGUUGGGGGGUAUUCAUAUUUAAUUGUCAGAGGUGAAAUUCUUGGAUUUAUGAAAGAUGAACUUAGGCGAAAGCAUUUACCAAGGAUUGUUUUCAAUUAAUCAAGAAACGAAAGGUU